GGGCAUUGAUGAGAAAUGCUUUUAAAAAAAUAGCAAUAUUUAUUUUCUUUCUUCCUAAAUCUUUUCUCUUCAGUUCUUUCACGAAAUCCAAUUCAUGAGAUUGGUGACUCUUUGAUGAAAUUGACAUCUAUCACAAAGCUUUCUCUCUCCCAUUGUCAAAUUCAAGAAAUUGGAUCUUCCCUCACGUCAUGUGUGGUUUUGAAGUCAAUCAGAUUUGCUCAAAACAAGAUUACAGUAUGUUUUACCUGCAUAAAAUACAUGCUCUGCCAGCUGAGUUGGCACGGAACAUAAAAGUUCAUAAUUUAGAUCUUGGGACCAAUCUGAUUGAGAAUUGGUCAGACUUAAAGGUCAGUGAUUAAUGAUGCCUGACUUUGUUACUUCAACUACAUCUAAGGAUGCACUAAUUUGAGACUUUAGGUUGCAUUGCUGCACAAUCUGCUGAAUUGACAAGGAUCAAAUGAUUUUGAUAAUAAGCAAGGAAAGGUGGAAAUAAGUUCCUUAAUUGAAGCUUAGGAGUAAGGAGUUGCCUUUAAUAGAAGACAUAAACUGAGUGAAGCGAGCAGCUGAUUCAAAACUUGGUCUUCCAUCACAUUAGCUAUGGAGAGUACAGUGUUUGCAAAGUCAGUAGAAUAGUGAAGAACUGGCGGAUGUUGAGCUUGCGAGAAGAAUCUUCCCAAUCCUGUGUGCAAUUAACAUCAGAGAUGUCUAGGCAGACACUUGGAAAAAGGAAGAGAUACAUUCUUGGAUUUGGGGUUGGGCCGAAGCCCUCUUCAUCUUCUUCCACACCUAGUCGUGUGUCACAUCUUAUAAGUUUGGUGACAGAGUUCUUAAAGGAAAAGACUCAAACGCACAAGUCAUCUAUCCAUCAUGAUGGGGCCAUGUAUUCAACUGGUGGUAUAAAUACUCGUUGAUACAUGGUGGAGUUAUGAGCAUGUGAAAUCUAGUUUUUGGUACAUGGAUAGCU